GAUCGAGUGGCGAACGGGUGAGUAACACGUGAGUAACCUGCCCUUGACUUUGGGAUAACUUCAGGAAACUGGGGCUAAUACCGGAUAGGAGCUCCUGCUGCAUGGUGGGGGUUGGAAAGUUUCGGCGGUUGGGGAUGGACUCGCGGCUUAUCAGCUUGUUGGUGGGGUAGUGGCUUACCAAGGCUUUGACGGGUAGCCGGCCUGAGAGGGUGACCGGCCACAUUGGGACUGAGAUACGGCCCAG
rnacentral:rRNA from 1 species